rnacentral:rRNA from 1 species
GGUUAAGCGACUAAGCGUACACGGUGGAUGCCCUGGCAGUCAGAGGCGAUGAAGGACGUGCUAAUCUGCGAUAAGCGUCGGUAAGGUGAUAUGAACCGUUAUAACCGGCGAUUUCCGAAUGGGGAAACCCAGUGUGAUUCGUCACACUAUCAUUAACUGAAUCCAUAGGUUAAUGAGGCGAACCGGGGGAACUGAAACAUCUAAGUACCCCGAGGAAAAGAAAUCAACCGAGAUUCCCCCAGUAGCGGCGAGCGAACGGGGAGCAGCCCAGAGCCUGAAUCAGUGUGUGUGUUAGUGGAAGCGUCUGGAAAGGCGUGCGAUACAGGGUGACAGCCCCGUACACAAAAAUGCACAUGCUGUGAGCUCGAUGAGUAGGGCGGGACACGUGGUAUCCUGUCUGAAUAUGGGGGGACCAUCCUCCAAGGCUAAAUACUCCUGACUGACCGAUAGUGAACCAGUACCGUGAGGGAAAGGCGAAAAGAACCCCGGCGAGGGGAGUGAAAAAGAACCUGAAACCGUGUACGUACAAGCAGUGGGAGCACAGAGCAAUCUGUGUGACUGCGUACCUUUUGUAUAAUGGGUCAGCGACUUAUAUUCUGUAGCAAGGUUAACCGAAUAGGGGAGCCGAAGGGAAACCGAGUCUUAACUGGGCGUUAAGUUGCAGGGUAUAGACCCGAAACCCGGUGAUCUAGCCAUGGGCAGGUUGAAGGUUGGGUAACACUAACUGGAGGACCGAACCGACUAAUGUUGAAAAAUUAGCGGAUGACUUGUGGCUGGGGGUGAAAGGCCAAUCAAACCGGGAGAUAGCUGGUUCUCCCCGAAAGCUAUUUAGGUAGCGCCUCGUGAAUUCAUCUCCGGGGGUAGAGCACUGUUUCGGCAAGGGGGUCAUCCCGACUUACCAACCCGAUGCAAACUGCGAAUACCGGAGAAUGUUAUCACGGGAGACACACGGCGGGUGCUAACGUCCGUCGUGAAGAGGGAAACAACCCAGACCGCCAGCUAAGGUCCCAAAGUCAUGGUUAAGUGGGAAACGAUGUGGGAAGGCCCAGACAGCCAGGAUGUUGGCUUAGAAGCAGCCAUCAUUUAAAGAAAGCGUAAUAGCUCACUGGUCGAGUCGGCCUGCGCGGAAGAUGUAACGGGGCUAAACCAUGCACCGAAGCUGCGGCAGCGACGCUUAUGCGUUGUUGGGUAGGGGAGCGUUCUGUAAGCCUGCGAAGGUGUGCUGUGAGGCAUGCUGGAGGUAUCAGAAGUGCGAAUGCUGACAUAAGUAACGAUAAAGCGGGUGAAAAGCCCGCUCGCCGGAAGACCAAGGGUUCCUGUCCAACGUUAAUCGGGGCAGGGUGAGUCGACCCCUAAGGCGAGGCCGAAAGGCGUAGUCGAUGGGAAACAGGUUAAUAUUCCUGUACUUGGUGUUACUGCGAAGGGGGGACGGAGAAGGCUAUGUUGGCCGGGCGACGGUUGUCCCGGUUUAAGCGUGUAGGCUGGUUUUCCAGGCAAAUCCGGAAAACUAAGGCUGAGGCGUGAUGACGAGGCACUACGGUGCUGAAGCAACAAAUGCCCUGCUUCCAGGAAAAGCCUCUAAGCAUCAGGUAACAUCAAAUCGUACCCCAAACCGACACAGGUGGUCAGGUAGAGAAUACCAAGGCGCUUGAGAGAACUCGGGUGAAGGAACUAGGCAAAAUGGUGCCGUAACUUCGGGAGAAGGCACGCUGAUAUGUAGGUGAAGUCCCUCGCGGAUGGAGCUGAAAUCAGUCGAAGAUACCAGCUGGCUGCAACUGUUUAUUAAAAACACAGCACUGUGCAAACACGAAAGUGGACGUAUACGGUGUGACGCCUGCCCGGUGCCGGAAGGUUAAUUGAUGGGGUCAGCGCAAGCGAAGCUCUUGAUCGAAGCCCCGGUAAACGGCGGCCGUAACUAUAACGGUCCUAAGGUAGCGAAAUUCCUUGUCGGGUAAGUUCCGACCUGCACGAAUGGCGUAAUGAUGGCCAGGCUGUCUCCACCCGAGACUCAGUGAAAUUGAACUCGCUGUGAAGAUGCAGUGUACCCGCGGCAAGACGGAAAGACCCCGUGAACCUUUACUAUAGCUUGACACUGAACAUUGAGCCUUGAUGUGUAGGAUAGGUGGGAGGCUUGGAAGUGUGGACGCCAGUCUGCAUGGAGCCGACCUUGAAAUACCACCCUUUAAUGUUUGAUGUUCUAACGUUGACCCGUAAUCCGGGUUGCGGACAGUGUCUGGUGGGUAGUUUGACUGGGGCGGUCUCCUCCUAAAGAGUAACGGAGGAGCACGAAGGUUGGCUAAUCCUGGUCGGACAUCAGGAGGUUAGUGCAAUGGCAUAAGCCAGCUUGACUGCGAGCGUGACGGCGCGAGCAGGUGCGAAAGCAGGUCAUAGUGAUCCGGUGGUUCUGAAUGGAAGGGCCAUCGCUCAACGGAUAAAAGGUACUCCGGGGAUAACAGGCUGAUACCGCCCAAGAGUUCAUAUCGACGGCGGUGUUUGGCACCUCGAUGUCGGCUCAUCACAUCCUGGGGCUGAAGUAGGUCCCAAGGGUAUGGCUGUUCGCCAUUUAAAGUGGUACGCGAGCUGGGUUUAGAACGUCGUGAGACAGUUCGGUCCCUAUCUGCCGUGGGCGCUGGAGAACUGAGGGGGGCUGCUCCUAGUACGAGAGGACCGGAGUGGACGCAUCACUGGUGUUCGGGUUGUCAUGCCAAUGGCACUGCCCGGUAGCUAAAUGCGGAAGAGAUAAGUGCUGAAAGCAUCUAAGCACGAAACUUGCCCCGAGAUGAGUUCUCCCUGACUCCUUGAGAGUCCUGAAGGAACGUUGAAGACGACGACGUUGAUAGGCCGGGUGUGUAAGCGCAGCGAUGCGUUGAGCUAACCGGUACUAAUGAACCGUGAGGCUUAACCUU